rnacentral:lncRNA from 1 species
AAAAUAUAACAUAUCUAUUAAUAUAUUAUCCUUGAAUAAAAUGUAAUGUAUUUCUUUCAUAUUGCUAUUUUCAUAAAUCUUUGAAUUUUGUUAAUCAUUUUUCGUGACUCAGAAUUUUUCUUUCUCCGUGAAAUAGAUUUAGGAAUGAGACAAUAUAAUGUGUCAUUAACAUUGCUUUGGAAAAAGCUAUAAACACGUUAAUUAUGAUACUUUUGAAAAGUUCUGUCUAUUCAAUUUUUCAUUCCUAACAAUUAUAGAUGAUCUAGAGUUUUAGAAAUGAGAGGAGGUUUCUAGGCUUCAAUUCAUCACAGGGGUUGGCGCCUAACGCCCUUUGAUGAGAUUGCAUCCAAGAACUCCCCUCUUGUUUCCAAAACCAUAGAUAAUCAAUAAUCAUUAGAAUGAAAUAUUCAAUAGACAGAAAUUUUCUAAUUUUUUUGUGGAUUUGAUAUAUUUCAUCAUUACAUAUGUAAUUACAUUUUAAUCAAAGAUAUUUUAAUUACAAACAGUGAAAAGAUUAAACAAAACUAUUUACAGAAAUGAGCAACAAUUUGUUAUCAAAAACCUAAAAUUCACACAAGAUGUGGAAUAUUUCCACCAAGUAUUACUUAAUUGAUAAUCAAUAUUAAUUUUGUUCCCGCAUAUAUGUGGGUAAAAAUUAAGUUUUAAUUUGAAAUAAAUAUAAUAAGUUGGCAAAUUAAAAGUUCAUUAAACCAAUUUUUAGAAAUACCUAUUUAUUUACAUUCUAUAAUGGUCGAAUGAUUCAUUGAUUUAUUUUUGGUUUAAUUGCCACUUUCAAUCUUGUUUUGAUAGAGCCUUGGCAAGGACUUUAAAAUUGGUAAUUUAACUAUUGAGAUGGAUAAAUCUGACAAUUCACAAAUAACUAUGCAUAAAUCUGUUUCUCUAAUAAUUAUCAAAUAAAUUUUCUUUUUUGAUGAAUGAAAAACCCUGUUUUUGUGCCUUCCACAUUUGACGAAAUUGCCAAUUUCUCCGACACCUGCUAGCACAUUUCAAUACAUCCAGGGAGCUGAUCAGAUUAUGACCCUUAAACUCAGCCAACCAUGUCAAAAUCAUCGCCAACCACACGUUGAUCAAAUCUUUUUAUACAUUGGGUCAAAAAAGGGUUUAAUUGUCAAAGAAAUAAAUAUUCAUGUGGCAAACCUUCAAGAAAUUUUAAUGUUUUAGAAUUUACUGAAAAUGUACCAAAAUUAUUUUUAGCAUGCGUUUUCACUUUGACCCUUGUACUUUCUUUUUAAAAUUUCAACUACUAGUCUUAUUUUUGUUAUGAUAUCAAAAGGCAUAAAAGGGGACUACCAAGGUGACUUGUGAACUUGCAAAAUUUGUAAAACAUUGAAGUAUAAAACAGGACAUUAUUGGAACGGUACAAUUUAAAUAAACAUGUAUUUGUAUACCUGCUAUCUGUACAACAGUUGCAGGUAAAAAGAAAAAUAUAAAUAGUUUAAAAAAAUAAACAAUAUAAUAAUACUAACCCGAAUAAUUCAGUUGUUAUAUUCCACUGAUCUACGAUCACUACAUUAAUGCCUGAAUGCAUAGACAAUGAAAAAUCUUCAAUCAACCAUUCGAUCCGAAUUAGCUCAGGAUUUACCCAUCUCGAUAAAAUUGAGCUGAUUGCUGAUUGGUCACCUCUUCUAUAGGGCACCAAUCAAAAUCUAGGAUUUGUGAAGAGUUUUUAUCGUGUUAGGAAUUCAGGCCUUUGCAAGUAGGAGAGAUCAAUUACGGGGAGGGACUGAAUUAUUCGGGUUAAUAUAAUACAAAAAAAUAUAUACAAUAUAGUACAAAAAAAUAUAUACAUGUUUAAUAAUUAAAAAGUUUAAUACCAUGCCUAUACGAUCAAGUUGAAAUUAUGGUAAGAGUAAUAAAAAAUAAACAAUAUAAUACUAACCCGUCAUAAUUCAGUUGUUAUAUUCCGCUGAUCUACGAUCACUACAUUAACGCCUGAAUGCAUAGACAAUGAAAAAUCUUCAAUCAACCAUUUGAUUUGAAUUAACUCGGGAUUUACCCAUCUCGAUAAAAUUGAGCUGAUUGCUGAUUGGUCACCUCUUCUAUAGGGAACCAAUCAAAAUUUAGGAUUUGUGAAGAGUUUUUAUCGUGUUAGGAAUUCAGGCCCUUGCAAGUAUGAG